AUCUUAGACAAUGGGGGCAACCCUGAUCUAGCCAUGCCGCGUGAGUGAUGAAGCCCUUCGGGGUGUAAACCACUGUCAGGGGGGAAGAAACCAGGUCGGUCGAAUAGGCCGGUCUGCUGACGGUACCUCCAAAGGAAGCGCCGGCUAACUCCGUUCCAGCAGCCGCGGUAAGACGGAGGGCGCAAGCGUUGUUCGGAAUUACUGGGCGUAAAGCGCGGGCAGGUGGCCCGUUAAGUCUGCGGUGAAAUCCCGGGGCUCAACUCCGGAUAUGCCGCGGAUACUGGCGGGCUAGAGACUGGUAGAGGCGAGUGGAAUUCCAGGUGUAGCGGUGGAAUGCGUAGAUAUCUGGAAGAACACCGGUGGCGAAGGCGGCUCGCUGGGCCAGUUCUGACACUCAUCCGCGAAAGCGUGGGGAGCAA
rnacentral:rRNA from 1 species